UUGGUGGAGGUAAUGGCUCACCAAGGCGAUGACGGGUAGCCGGCCUGAGAGGGGUGACCGGCCACACUGGGANUGAGACACGGCCCAGACUCUUACGGGAGDCARCASUGGGGAAUAUUGCACAAUGGGCGCAAGCCUGAUGCAGCGACGCCGCGUGCGGGAUGACGGCCUUCGGGUUGUAAACCGCUUUCAGCAGGRAAGAAGCUUUUUGUGACGGUACCUGCAGAAGAAGCGCCGGCUAACUACGUGCCAGCAGCCGCGGUAAUACGUAGGGCGCGAGCGUUAUCCGGAAUUAUUGGGCGUAAAGGGCUCGCAGGCGGUUUGCCACGUCUGCUGUGAAAGCCCGGGGCUUAACUCCGGGUGUGCAGUGGGUACGGGUAGACUAGAGUGCAGUAGGGGAGACUGGAAUUCCUGGUGUAGCGGUGAAAUGCGCAGAUAUCAGGAAGAACCCCGAUGGCGAAGGCAGGUCUCUGGGCUGUUACUGACGCUGAGGAGCGAAAGCAUGGGGAGCGAACAGGAUUAGAUACCCUGGUAGUCCAUGCCGUAAACGUUGGGCACUAGGUGUGGGGAACAUUUMCACGUUUUCCCGCGCCGUAGCUAACGCAUUAAGUGACCCCGCCUGGGGAGUACGGCCGCAAGGCUAAAACUCAAAGGAAUUGAGCGGGGGCCCGCACAAGCGGCGGAGCAUCG
rnacentral:rRNA from 1 species